rnacentral:rRNA from 1 species
GACGAACGCUGGCGGCGUGCUUAACACAUGCAAGUCGAACGGAAAGGCCCUGCUUUUGUGGGGUGCUCGAGUGGCGAACGGGUGAGUAACACGUGAGUAACCUGCCCUGGACUUUGGGAUAACUUCAGGAAACUGGGGCUAAUACCGGAUAGGAGCUCCUGCUGCAUGGGGGGGGUUGGAAAGUUUCGGCGGUUGGGGAUGGACUCGCGGCUUAUCAGCUUGUUGGUGGGGUAGUGGCUUACCAAGGCUUUGACGGGUGGCCGGCCUGAGAGGGUGACCGGCCACAUUGGGACUGAGAUACGGCCCAGACUCCUACGGGAGGCAGCAGUGGGGAAUAUUGCACAAUGGGCGGAAGCCUGAUGCAGCAACGCCGCGUGCGGGAUGACGGCCUUCGGGUUGUAAACCGCUUUCGCCUGUGACGAAGCGUGAGUGACGGUAAUGGGUAAAGAAGCACCGGCUAACUACGUG